GUAAACUUCUUUUUUUCGGGACGAAAAGGUCUGGGUUAAUACCCUGGGCUCCUGACGGUUCCGUAAGAAUAAGCACCGGCUAACUACGUGCCAGCAGCCGC
rnacentral:rRNA from 1 species